rnacentral:rRNA from 1 species
ACGCUGGCGGCAGGCCUACACAUGCAAGUCGAGCGGUAACAUUUCUAGCUUGCUAGAAGAUGACGAGCGGCGGACGGGUGAGUAAUGCUUGGGAACAUGCCUUUAGGUGGGGGACAACCAUUGGAAACGAUGGCUAAUACCGCAUAAUGUCUACGGACCAAAGGGGGCUUCGGCUCUCGCCUUUAGAUUGGCCCAAGUGGGAUUAGCUAGUUGGUGAGGUAAUGGCUCACCAAGGCGACGAUCCCUAGCUGGUUUGAGAGGAUGAUCAGCCACACUGGAACUGAGACACGGUCCAGACUCCUACGGGAGGCAGCAGUGGGGAAUAUUGCACAAUGGGCGCAAGCCUGAUGCAGCCAUGCCGCGUGUGUGAAGAAGGCCUUCGGGUUGUAAAGCACUUUCAGUUGUGAGGAAAGGUUAGUAGUUAAURCCUGCUAGCUGUGACGUUAGCAACAGAAGAAGCACCGGCUAACUCCGUGCCAGCAGCCGCGGUAAUAGCGGAGGGUGCGAGCGUUAAUCGGAAUUACUGGGCGUAAAGCGUACGCAGGCGGUUUGUUAAGCGAGAUGUGAAAGCCCCGGGCUCCAACCUGGGAACUGCAUUUCGAACUGGCAAUUC